UCAGGCCACAUUCUCCAUCCAGUAAGGUUUUAUCCCUGUUUUUGAAGGCAUCCUCCAUCUUGACAGUUUUAGAUGUUGGAAUCAUCGAUGGGGGAGGAGGAGGCUGCGUCAUAGGUGUUCAUGGCGAAGAACGAGACAGUGGCAAGUAGGAGAAGGGCGGCGCAGAUUGAUGACUGAUACAGAUUCACAGGUUUCUUUCAUCUCUGAUUCUUGAAGAUUGAUUAAUGAGAAAGAUUAACAGGUUUGAUGAAAAUGAAUAUGCAUCUUGUGUGCAUUAACUGAAGGGCUUCUGCAACCUUUGUUGGAAAUAAGCUAAACACCGUUUGUAACCGUUGUUGACAGUUGGGUUCCCGCCAAAAGUAACUGCUCUUCCAAUUGAUGUGUCGUUUCCUCUAACCGUCGCACUGUUUCAUUUCCUUUAUAUGUGUGUUGUUUAUUGGAAUCACCUGUAACAGUUUCUUUGUUCAUUGUCUAAUAAUAUG